UACGUAGGGGGCGAGCGUUGACCGAAGUUACUGGGCGUAAAGCGCGCGUAGGCGGUUUCUUAAGUCUGGGGUGAAAGGUUCAACGCUCGACGUGAACAGUGCCUUGGAUACUGGGAGACUUGAGUUAGGGAGAGGGUAGUGGAUUUCCUGGUGUAGCGGUGAAAUGCGUAGAUAUCAGGAGGAACACCAAUGGCGAAGGCAGCUACCUAGCCUAUAACUGACGCUGAGGCGCGAAGGCGUGGGGAGCAAACGGG
rnacentral:rRNA from 1 species